rnacentral:rRNA from 1 species
UACGUAGGCAGCAAGCGUUGUUCGGAGUUACUGGGCGUAAAGGGUGCGUAGGUGGCUCUAUAAGUAUGGUGUGAAAUCUCCCGGCUUAACUGGGAGGGUGCGCCGUAGACUGUGGGGCUAGAGUGUGGGAGAGGAAAGUGGAAUUCCUGGUGUAGCGGUGAAAUGCGUAGAUAUCAGGAGGAACACCGGUGGUGUAAACGGCUUUCUGGACCAUAACUGACACUGAGGCACGAAAGCGUGGGGAGCGAACAGG